GAUGAACGCUAGCUACAGGCUUAACACAUGCAAGUCGAGGGACCGGCGCACGGGUGAGUAACACGUAUCCAACCUGCCCUUUACUCGGGGAUAGCCUUUCGAAAGAAAGAUUAAUACCCGAUAUAAAGGCUGGGGAUGCGUUCCGUUAGGUUGUUGGUGAGGUAACGGCUCACCAAGCCUUCGAUGGAUAGGGGUUCUGGGAGGAAGGUCCCCCAGAUUUGAACUGAGACACGGUCCGAACAUCUACGGGAGGCAGCAGUGAGGGAUAGUGGUCAAAGGGCGCUAGCCUGAACCAGCCACGUAGCGUGAAGGAUGAAGGCUUAUGGGUCGGAAACUUCUUUUAUAUAGGAAUAUGUAUUAUAUGAAUAAGGAUCGGCUAACUCCGUGCCAGCAGGCGCGGUAAUUC
rnacentral:rRNA from 1 species